UAUUAUAUUCCACAAAUAAUCUAAAACAAAAUCAGAUUAAUCAGAUUAAAAUUUUCAAGCUACUAUAUUCCAUAAAUAAUUUGUCUUUCCCAUAAUUAAAUAAUCUGAAACAAAAUCAGAUUAAAACUUUCAAGCUAUUAUAUUCCAUAUAUAAUCUAAAACAAAAUCAGAUUCUGAAACUUGCUUCUAAUAUACCCAAAACUAAAAAAAGUAGUUCUAAUUUUUGAUAUUUUUCAUCCGAAAAUUCCAAAAAAUUAGAAAAAUAGAACGGAGCGAUCUGAGAGGCGCCACCUACACGCCCCACGCUUCUCCUUUAUAUAAGUAUAUUGAUGAUUGAUUCUCAAAACAUCAAUUUGAAAAAAAUGGGACCUGCUGGGAUAUACUCCAUCUAUCAAUAUUUAUCUAUGUGCAUAUUCGAGAGAGAAAAUUGAAGACAAGCGAGGUACUAGAAACAAGGAUUAAUCGGUGAUUAAUCGUGAUUAAUCACCAACUUUUAGAACAGAAUUAAAAGUCUACAACUGGGGUCUGGGACUCUGGGCUAUAUGAAACGACAAUGGACAAUAAAAAAAAGAACUAGCUAUUGAAUCAAAAUUGGGCUGAUACUUAAAUCAAUGAUAGUGAAAUCAGCUUGAUGGGCUUUAGUCGUCUUCCCUAUUGAACAAUUAUUGGGCAAAUUUUAAAGAUCAAUUGAAAUUAACUAUGUGCACUGGGCCGUCUACCCACUUCACGUUUCUCUGUUUUCACCACUGUGAUAGACAAAACUUUAUUAUCUCCCUUGUGUGUGAGCUUUUCUAAGAGCAACUCGCCCAAAUCGGACAAUAAUAUCAGAAUCUGGCUCAUGCCCAACUCCUGCAGUGGAAUUUGUGAAAAGGAUCCUACUAUUUCUAUAAUGAUUUAAU
rnacentral:lncRNA from 1 species